rnacentral:rRNA from 1 species
GACGAACGCUGGCGGCGUGCCUAAUACAUGCAAGUCGAACGCUGAAGCUUGGUGCUUGCUCUUCUUGGAUGAGUUGCGAACGGGUGAGUAACACGUAGGUAACCUGCCUUGUACCGGGGGAUAACUAUUGGAAACUGUAGCUAAUACUGCAUAACACCAGUUGUUGCAUGGCGGCUUUUUAAAAGGUUCAUUUUCGUCUCUACCAGACUGACCUGCGUUGUAUUAGCUAGUUGGUGAGGUGCCGGCUCACCAAGGCGACGAUAUAUAGCCGACCUGGGAGGGUGAGCAGCCACCCUGGGACUGUGACACGGCCCAGAGUGCUACGGGAGGGAGCCGGAGGGAAACGUGGGCAAGGGGGGGAAAACUGACCGCGAAACGCGGAGGCAGGGAAGAAGGUUGUCGGAUCGUAAAGCACUGUUGUAAGGGAAGAACGGGUGUGAGAGUGGAAAGUUCACACUGUGACGGUAUCUUAACAGAAAGGGACGGCUAACUACGUG